rnacentral:rRNA from 1 species
UACGUAGGGUGCGAGCGUUGUCCGGAAUUAUUGGGCGUAAAGAGCUCGUAGGCGGCUUGUCGCGUCGGAUGUGAAAGCCCGGGGCUUAACUCCGGGUCUGCAUUCGAUACGGGCAGGCUAGAGUUCGGUAGGGGAGAUCGGAAUUCCUGGUGUAGCGGUGAAAUGCGCAGAUAUCAGGAGAAGCACCGGUGGCGAAGGCGGAUCUCUGGGCCGAUACUGACGCUGAGGAGCGAAAGCGUGGGGGAGCGAACAGG